AUUGUGAAUCAGUAUGUUCGAAAACAUGGCGGUAAAACCUUUUCAGCACGAAUCACUGUUAACGGUAAUUUUUCAUUGUGAGUCCAGCCAUAUGUUUUCACAAACUUAAACAAAAAAAAGUACACACAAUUUUUCACGUACACCUACGUCAUAUCCUGCGCAUUUUCUUCUCGCUAUCAUUAUCACUGUUGUUAGCAACCAGAUUGAAAUAUUGAAAAUGUGUCUUUUCGCGCUUCAAAAAUUGUAAACCACCAAGCUGUUUUGAUUUAAACUGAAGAGCUUUAGGCAACCACGUUAUUAUAUUUUGUCAAAAUGUCUAGCACAUUUUCAAAAGAGCUUUUGAAAAUAGCCGUGGCUCGAAUUUGUAGUACUUUAGGUUGGAAUUCAAUACUGGCGAUUCCUUUGGAAAUUAUGAUUGAUAUCCUCGAUAGACAUUUACGAGCUGUUUGCAAGGAAACAAAAAUAAAUUGUGAAAUAGCUGGCCGUACCCAACCACUUGUAUCUGACGUUCACCUGGCUCUGCAACAACUCAGCACAAACAUUCAAGAGAUAUCAGAAUAUAUGGAGAAUGUUCAGCCUGCAAAGUUCCCUCAGCAAGUUCCAAAAUAUCCUGUGGCUUGCGAUUCUCACUUGAACGUUGUUGAAUUUGCUACAUGAUAAUUUUGUCUCCAAUACCACACUGCUUUCGUGAGGAACUUAAACACUGUUCUAGUCGGUGGAAGAAGUGUUGGAAGGAGUUUGAGGGUCACAUGGACCAAUAAGUUUUACAUAAACAUUAAAAAAAAAUUAUCUGAAUUUUUAACAAUAUUUAUUGAUAUACUGCUUAAAGAAAACUUAUAAAACUUCAACAAUUACUGAAUAACUGCUGAGAGGUUUUAAAAAAAUUUGAAAUGAUUGAUUAAAAAUUAAAAAAAAAAAAAAGUUUGGCAUACACCGUUUCUUGGCUUCUGGGUUAAGGCCAUAUUAACACAUUAAUGUGCCUGAUGUUUCAGCAUGCCUUUCUGCAGCCAUCUUCAAGGAUGAUAAUUAAAAACUGCCUAUGAAAACCUGAAAUGAAGUGUGUGAAAAUUUACCCCCGCAAAAAAAAAAUUAACUUUUAAAACCUUGAACUUUGAGCACAAAAUAAAUUUAGCUAUCUGGUGGUCGUGGAGUCAGAAAAGCUGAACAUAUUAUUUGAUGCUUACCCAACAUGCCAGGUCACAUUCUAUAUAAUUAUUUACCAUCAGAUUUCUAUUAUAAAACAAUAUUUUAUGAAAUAAGUUAAGGAAAACAUAUUCUGUCAAUGCAAUUCAUUUGAAAAAUACUUUAAAUCUAUUUUCUUUAGCUCACUACACCUUGAGAAAGUAUUUUUUCUUAACACUGGUGUGGUAGCUAUAAUGUGAGUGGAAGGUAUUGCAGUUUGUAUUACAGACCCAGUACCAUACUGUUAACCCAAGAAGUCCUUAUUGUGAUAAUGUAGAAAACAGAUCUUUAUUAAUGUUUUUUAAAAUUCAGUUAUUGUGUGCCUUUGGAAUUGCAUAGCUUAUUUUGAGUUGUUUCCCCCCCCCCCCCCCCCCCCCCCAUAUUUAGAGAAUGUUGUCUAACUAAUAUUAAUUUUGUUUCAAACUAUUGGUUGGUUAAUGUGUUAACGAUUAUUUAUAAAAAAAGUAUGCAAGUUCUAAAAAUUCUAAUUUAGGCCAUUAUUUCUUGUAGGUAUACUGUAAGUUUGUUGCUGUUUAAGUUUGGAAUAUUCUUUCUGAUCAGUUGGCCCAAGAUUGCUCAAUCUCUUGUUUAGCUCGGGUCCACGGCAGCAUAUGUGCUGAAUCGUAUGACUUGGCCAUCAAUUGGAUUGAAUUGUGCUGUUGUGAACUGCAUAAAUUUAAAUAAUACUCGUUUGUAAUUUUGCUAUGUACAAUAGUUGUGAUUGGUGGAAAAACUGCAAGAUGGGGAUAUGAAGCUUUGGUUUGCAGAUUCUUUCUGAAGUAGGGGUAGUGAAGCCAAACUUCAGUGACAUCACUGCUUCCUCUUUUUUAAUAUUUUGUCUCUUGAACCUACAAACGUGGUUACGAGAGUCACUCACUUUUUUGGUCCAUGGCUAGAAAGGCAAUGCAGCAUUAUUUUAACAAAUCAUUGGUGCCAGCCCUUUUCAGUGCCCUGUGAUGAAAUUUUUUUAAUAUAGUUUCAUUGAACGUAUAUAACUUCAAGAAAGGUAAAAUUCUCAGUCAAAAUUUAUUUUUAUUUGUUGAUACUUGUUGCUAACAAUAAUAUCACAAGCACUAUAAAAGAGGUUUUAGUACAUAUUCUGUGAAUACGUUUCAGCCAGAAUUUCCAAUUUAGUGCAGCAAUAUAUAAACUCCAUCCUUUUGUGAUGAUGCUAUCACAUCUCCCAGUUAUGAGACUAGUUGACUACCCAUAUGACUGAACACAUUUUAUAAAAUUAAGCAAAUACAGUAUGGUAGUGUUACCUGAGUUGAACAGUGAUUAUAGAAGUGUGUAAUUUAAUUAAUGGGAAAAUGUAUGCAAGCAAUUUAGCUUGCAAAGGCAUGUCUAGCAUGAGGAUGUAUGUGUGUAUAUAUGUACAAACACAAAUUUUAAAUAAAACUUAACUGCACAGUU